rnacentral:rRNA from 1 species
CGGCGGACGGGUGAGUAACGCGUGGGUAACCGUGCCUCAUACAGGGGAGUAACAGUUGGAAACGGCUGCUAAUACCGCAUAAGCGCACAGUACCGCAUGGUACCGUGUGAAAAACUCCGGUGGUAUGAGAUGGACCCGCGUCUGAUUAGCUAGUUGGUGGGGUAACGGCCUACCAAGGCGACGAUCAGUAGCCGACCUGAGAGGGUGACCGGCCACAUUGGGACUGAGACACGGCCCAA